UAGGGAAUCUUCGGCAAUGGGGGCAACCCUGACCGAGCAACGCCGCGUGAGUGAAGAAGGUUUUCGGAUCGUAAAGCUCUGUUGUAAGUCAAGAACGAGUGUGAGAGUGGAAAGUUCACACUGUGACGGUAGCUUACCAGAAAGGGACGGCUAACUACGUGCCAGCAGCCGCGGUAAUACGUAGGUCCCGAGCGUUGUCCGGAUUUAUUGGGCGUAAAGCGAGCGCAGGCGGUUUGAUAAGUCUGAAGUUAAAGGCUGUGGCUCAACCAUAGUUCGCUUUGGAAACUGUCAAACUUGAGUGCAGAAGGGGAGAGUGGAAUUCCAUGUGUAGCGGUGAAAUGCGUAGAUAUAUGGAGGAACACCGGUGGCGAAAGCGGCUCUCUGGUCUGUAACUGACGCUGAGGCUCGAAAGCGUGGGGAGCGAACAGGAUUAGAUACCCUGGUAGUCCACGCCGUAAACGAUGAGUGCUAGGUGUUGGGUCCUUUCCGGGAUUCAGUGCCGCAGCUAACGCAUUAAGCACUCCGCCUGGGGAGUACGACCGCAAGGUUG
rnacentral:rRNA from 1 species